GUGUGGUUUUGAACAAGGCAGACCAAGUUGAUACUCAACAACUGAUGAGGGUUUAUGAAGCUUUGAUGUGGUCACUAGGAAAAGUACUUAAUACUCCUGAAGUUGUCCGCGUCUAUAUUGGCUCAUUCAAUGAGAACAUUGUAACUGAAGCUGCAACUGGUCCAAUUGGGAAAGAACUUUUU